GGAAGGGUUGUAGCUCAGAGGUAGAGAAUUUGCCUUGCAUACAAAAAGUCCCAGGUUCAAUCCCCGGAAUCUCCA